rnacentral:rRNA from 1 species
GACGAACGCUGGCGGCGUGCUUAACACAUGCAAGUCGAACGAUGAUGCCCAGCUUGCUGGGUGGAUUAGUGGCGAACGGGUGAGUAACACGUGAGUAACCUGCCCCUGACUCUGGGAUAAGCGUUGGAAACGACGUCUAAUACUGGACAUGACUGCCGGCCGCAUGGUCUGGAGGUGGAAAGAUUUUUUGGUUGGGGAUGGACUCGCGGCCUAUCAGCUUGUGGGUGAGGUAAUGGCUCACCAAGGCGACGACGGGUAUCCGGCCUACGAGGGUGACCGGCCCCACUGGAACUGAGCCACGGCCAAGACUCCUACGGGAGGCAGCCGUGGGAAAUAUUCCACAAUGCGCGAAAGCCUGAUGCCGCACCGCCGGGUGAGGGAUGACGGCCUUCGGGUUGUAAACCUUUUUUAGUAGGGAAGAAGCGAAAGUGACGGUACCUGCAGAAAAAGCACCGGCUACCUACGUGCCAGCAGCCGCCGUAA